rnacentral:rRNA from 1 species
UUUCAAGAUUCUAAGAGCAAACGGUGGAUGCCUUGGCAUCUGGAGCCGAAGAAGGACGUAUAAAUCUGCGAUAAGCCUCGGGGAGCUGAUAAUAGAGCUUUGAUCCGAGGAUCUCCGAAUGGGGAAACCCCGCCAGGCCCUUUGGGUGACCUGGUGACUCCCGCCUGAAUAUAUAGGGCGGGUAGAGGGAACGUGGGGAAGUGAAACAUCUCAGUACCCACAGGAAGAGAAAGCAAAAGCGAUUCCGUUAGUAGUGGCGAGCGAAACCGGAAGAGGCCAAACCGAUCAUGUGUGAUAUCCGGUAGGAGUUGCAUGGUCGGGGUUGCGGGACUUUCCGUACAGUUCUACCGAGCUGUGAGGGCAAUGAGCGCGAUAUAGACGAAUGGUCUUGAAAGGCCAGUCAUAGAGGGUGCGAACCCCGUAGUCGAAAUGUCGUCGCCUGUCCGGAGAGUAUCCCAAGUAGCACGGGGCCCGAGAAAUCCCGUGUGAAUCUGUCAGGACCACCUGAUAAGCCUAAAUACUCCCAGAUGACCGAUAGCGGACAAGUACCGUGAGGGAAAGGUGAAAAGUACCCCGGGAGGGGAGUGAAAUAGUACCUGAAACCGUUUGCUUACAAACCGUUGGAGC